UAUCGGCGUACAACGAUGAGGACGCGCUCCUCGAUGUGGUGCCGAGGGAAACGAGCCACAGCAACAGCGUCCAUGAAAGGACGGAAAGCUGAAACAUCAAGUGUCGGGCAAUAGAGUUUGGUAGGCCGGUAACGGUUCGAAGAAGUUUGGCCCG
ncrna:unclassified sequences RT-3 RNA